CCCCUAGACGUUCUGGGCCGCACGCGCGCUACACUGAACAGUUCAACAAGUCUUAACCUUGGCCGAUAGGUCUGGGUAAUCUUUGAACGCUGUUCGUGAUUGGGAUAGACCUUUGCAAUUAUGGGUCUUCAACGAGGAAUUCCUAGUAAACGCAAGUCAUCAGCUUGCAUUGAUUACGUCCCUGCCCUUUGUACACACCGCCCGUCGCACCUACCGAUUGAAUGGUCCGGUGAAAUCUCGGGACGGCGGCUUGGUCGCUUGCGUCCGACUGCUGAAACUUGAUUAAACCAUAUCAUUUAGAGGAAGGUGAANUCGUAACA
rnacentral:rRNA from 1 species